UACGAAGGGGGCUAGCGUUGCUCGGAAUCACUGGGCGUAAAGGGUGCGUAGGCGGGUCUUAAGUCAGGGGUGAAAUCCUGGAGCUCAACUCCAGAACUGCCUUUGAUACUGAGGAUCUUGAGUAUGGGAGAGGUGAGUGGAACUGCGAGUGUAGAGGUGAAAUUCGUAGAUAUUCGCAAGAACACCAGUGGCGAAGGCGGCUCACUGGCCCAUUACUGACGCUGAGGCACGAAAGCGUAGGGAGCAAACAGG
rnacentral:rRNA from 1 species